rfam:Gossypium hirsutum cultivar TM-1 chromosome 20, whole genome shotgun sequence
GCUUUUUAAGUUCGUCGUCAAAUCCCAAGGCUCAACCCUGGACAAACGAUGGAAACUACCAAGCUGGAGUACGAUAGGGGCAAAGGGAAUUUCUAGUGGAGCGGUGAAAUACGUAGAGAUUUGAAAGAACACCAACGGCGAAAGCACUCUACUAGGCCAACACUGAC